AUCCAAAUGACGAGUCUCAUAGGACGAAACGUGAGUCCUAGAU
rnacentral:hammerhead_ribozyme from 1 species